rnacentral:tRNA from 1 species
GGACCCGUAGUUUAAUCGGUAAAACACCUGCUUGUCACGCAGGAGACAGCGAGUUCGAUCCUCGUCGGGUCCGCCA